AUUCCAGCUCCAAUAGCGUAUAUUAAAGUUGUUGCGGUUAAAAAGCUCGUAGUUGGAUUUCUGCUGAGGACGACCGGUCCGCCCUCCGGGUGAGCAUCUGGUUCGGCCUUGGCAUCUUCUUGGUGAACGUAUCUGCACUUGACUGUGUGGUGCGGUACCCAGGACUUUUACUUUGAGGAAAUUAGAGUGUUUCAAGCAGGCAUACGCCUUGAAUACAUUAGCAUGGAAUAAUAAGAUAGGACCUUGGUUCUAUUUUGUUGGUUUCUAGAGCUGAGGUAAUGAUUAAUAGGGAUAGUCAGGGGCAUUCGUAUUCAAACGACAGAGGUGAAAUUCUUGGACCGUUUGAAGACGAACUAAGGCGAAAGCAUUUGCCAAGAAUGUUUUCAUCG
rnacentral:rRNA from 1 species